CGGCAAAAGCUCAAAUUUGAAAUCUAGCACUUUCAGUGUUCGAGUUGUAAUUUGAAGAAGGUAACUUUGGUUUUGGCUCUUGUCUAUGUUCCUUGGAACAGGACGUCACAGAGGGUGAGAAUCCCGUGCGAUGAGAUGCCCAAUUCCAUGUAAAGUGCUUUCGAAGAGUCGAGUUGUUUGGGAAUGCAGCUCUAAGUGGGUGGUAAAUUCCAUCUAAAGCUAAAUAUUGGCGAGAGACCGAUAGCGAACAAGUACAGUGAUGGAAAGAUGAAAAGAACUUUGAAAAGAGAGUGAAAAAGUACGUGAAAUUGUUGAAAGGGAAGGGCUUGAGAUCAGACUUGGUAUUUUGCGUUCCCUUCCUUUUUGGUUGGGUUCCUCGCAGUUUACUGGGCCAGCAUCGGUUUGGAUGGUAGGAUAAUGACAUUGGAAUGUAGCUUUACUUCGGUGAAGUGUUAUAGAC
rnacentral:rRNA from 1 species